AACGAACGCUGGCGGCAUGCCUAACACAUGCAAGUCGAACGAGACCUUCGGGUCUAGUGGCGCACGGGUGCGUAACGCGUGGGAAUCUGCCCUUGGGUUCGGAAUAACAGUUAGAAAUGACUGCUAAUACCGGAUGAUGACUUCGGUCCAAAGAUUUAUCGCCCAGGGAUGAGCCCGUGUCGGAUUAGCUAGUUGGUGAGGUAAAGGCUCACCAAGGCGACGAUCCGUAGCUGGUCUGAGAGGAUGAUCAGCCACACGGGGACUGAGACACGGCCCAGACUCCUACGUGAGGCAGCAGUGGGGAAUAUUGGACAAUGGGCGAAAGCCUGAUCCAGCAAUGCCGCGUGGGUGAUGAAGGCCUUAGGGUUGUAAAGCUCUUUUACCCGGGAUGAUAAUGACAGUACCGGGAGAAUAAGCCCCGGCUAACUCCGUGCCAGCAGCCGCCGCCGUAA
rnacentral:rRNA from 1 species